ACACCGCUGGUAGAGUGGUAUCAUGCAAGACUCCUACUCUUGUGACCCAGGGUCGAUUCCUGGGCGGCGCA
rfam:Ovis aries breed Texel chromosome 9, whole genome shotgun sequence.